rnacentral:rRNA from 1 species
UACGUAGGGUGCAAGCGUUGUCCGGAAUUAUUGGGCGUAAAGAGCUCGUAGGCGGUUCGGUAAGUCAGGUGUGAAAACUCCAGGCUCAACUUGGAGACGCCACCUGAUACUGUCGUGACUAGAGUCCGGUAGGGGAGCAUGGAAUUCCUGGUGUAGCGGUGAAAUGCGCAGAUAUCAGGAGGAACACCAGCGGCGAAGGCGGUGCUCUGGGCCGGAACUGACGCUGAGGAGCGAAAGCGUGGGGAGCGAACAGG